rnacentral:rRNA from 1 species
UCUGUCGGCGUGGACACGGUGGUCACAACUGCCCCCAUGCCGAACUCAGAAGUGAAACGCCGUAGCGCCGAUGGUAGUGUGGGGUCUCCCCAUGCGAGAGUAGGGAACUGCCAGGC